rnacentral:lncRNA from 1 species
AAAUUUGAGGAUAUCACUUACAGAGCCCUGCUACUCGAUAAGUUCUGUCAGAAUCUUUGUCGAAUUAUCAUCAAGCUUAUGAAACUCUUGACCAAUCUGAGCACAUCUUGGAAAAAUUCAAGGUUUGCAAAGAGCCGAGUAGGUGAGUAACAAAAUCCCUCCCACUUGCUCUGCGCAUGCUCUGUAGUGGAUCAGCGGCCUCCUCUUCCAUCUCCCCCAGGAAAUGUCUGUCAUCACCAAGAAUUGGUCAGAACUCAGUGAAGAGACUGGAAUAUCAACCUUCCUCUUGAAAAUUCUCUACGAUGAUUUGAAUAUGAAAUAUUCAUGAGAGAUGGAGAGAUGGCUUAUGACUGACUGCUCUUCUGAAGGUCCUGAGUUCAAAUCCCA